rnacentral:rRNA from 1 species
GACGAACGCUGGCGGCGUGCUUAACACAUGCAAGUCGAACGGAAAGGCCUCUUUCGGGGGGUACUCGAGUGGCGAACGGGUGAGUAACACGUGAGUAACCUGCCCUUGACUUUGGGAUAACUUCAGGAAACUGGGGCUAAUACCGGAUAGGAGCUCCUGCUGCCUGGUGGGGGUUGGAAAGUUUCGGCGGUUGGGGAUGGACUCGCGGCUUAUCCGCUUGUUGGUGGGGUAGUGGCUUACCAAGGCGUUGACGGGUAGCCGGCCUGAGAGGGUGAGCGGCCACACUGGGACUGAGAUACGGCCCAGACGCCUACGGGAGGCAGCAGUGGGGAAUAUUGCACAAUGGGUGGAAGCCUGAUGCAGCAGCGCCGUGUGCGGGAUGACGGUCUUCGGGUUGUAAACCGCUUUCGCUCAUGACGAAGCUUUGUGUGACGGUAGUGGGUAAAGAAGCACCGGCUAACUACGUG